UUGUAGCUUUUACAUCAUUUAUUUUUUCCUACAAUAAAAAACCCAAAGGUGGUGGCCAAUAUUAGGGGGGGGGGGGUUGUCAAUACGAGGAAUUGCAGUAUCUGAGGAAAAUUACAGCUAGGUGUCCUUUGUGAUCUAAUGAUCAAGAUUUAAACUGUAAGUUCGUCUGAUUUUGAACUUCCUUUCUCCUUACAUACAUUAAAUAAACAAAAAAAGCAUACAGAGAACUGAGACACUUUGAAGGCUUUUUAUAAUCUAUUUCGUAACUAUUUAAGGUAGCUUUGUCAGUAGUGCGUCAGUAUUUGUCUUAGGCAAGGGGCAAUUCACUCUUGCAAAUAGCGUACGAGACUUUCCCUAAAACAAAAGGAUUUCCAGGGAUUUUCAGAUACAACAAAACGAUUUUCACAAAAGGUGUACGAGGAUUUCUUGGAGUGAUUUGUCCCUCGGUCUUAAGGAUAGAUUUUUUUGAAUAAAUGAAUAUUUACACUUACAUUCCAUAGAGCAGAAUACACGUCCCGUAAAUCAUAGGAAGUUCAUCCAUAAGCUAGAAGAAACACGUGGAAUUAAACACCAUAAAAGACGGAGCAUGCGAUGCCAUUCUAUUGCAAAGGCGAAAGAACAAUAGCAAAGCACAAUAGCAAGAACAAUAUCAAGGGCAAAAGGGGCAAAGAAAAUAAUAUCGUAGAUCAAAAGAAUAUUUUGGAAGACGUCCCACAAAGUACGGAUAAAUUCUUGCUAACAUGUGGUCAUUAUCAGGGCCAAAAAGCAACAGUUGAAAUGCCGAACAUCAAGAAAAUCAUAGCAAAAUUUUCACAAAUUUGCGAUAAAAUGCACCAUUUUUCUUGAAACCCAGUUAAUAAAUAAAAUCGGGUUUCGAUGGAUACAUUGCUAUCAGACUUUUAAGACAGAAAAUAUUAAAAACUCCUUAGUGCUCAUCUUGUUCUACAUUAAGCUUGAGAAUCUGAAGAUCACAGUAGUGUCUUGUUACAUACUUUGACUAGAUGGAUCUUUAGAGAAAUUUCUCCUCAAGCACACAUCUUAAAUAGGCCCUGUUCUGCAGCUUUCUGUGCCAAAAGAUAUCGUUUUUUCCCUUCACACUACAAAGUUUUGAAGUUUUCAUGCUGGUAUCAUAUUUUGCACGAUUUUUGUGCCUUCAGACCGGACAAUAUCGAUAAUUCCAUCUGUGUUGAUAGCUUUAACACUAAAGAUUUGCUUUUUUGGCCAAAAACGUCAGUGGAGGGUCAUGGUUCUGCAUCUAUGAUCGAAAUUAUCUCGAGACGUGCUAUGCAGCACUCCAUGCCCUCUUCCCAAAGUACUUCUUUCAACCGCAAAUAAAGCAAGAUGGAUAAGGGAAAGAUUUGUCGCGUCAAAUUUGCAGAGAUGGCUCAACACUGUAUCUAGGACAGGGAGCAUUUUGUAAAAAGUAUUGAAACUAAAUAAAAUUCUUGCAAAAACAUUAGCAGAAUCUCAUUAUCGUCUUACUGGCCACAAGUGGAUAAUACGUUUAAGUUUAUUCUGAAGAAGGGAAACGGAUUGAAAACAAAAAGAUUAGCCAACAGGGUUCAGCAUGGGUACAAAAAGAAGAAAUGCAUGAAAACUGCUGGAAACAGGUAUGUGAUCGAAGAUAUUUCUAAAUUAUACUUCACAUAGAUUUGAUGAAUUCAAAACAUUGCCAAAAUGCUGACAGGUCAACUUGACCUUGGCAGUGUUGGUAAGAACAAAUAAACUUCUGUGUUUUUGCUUCCACAGUUGUUGUACUACUGGGCAUUGAGUUAGCUACCUACCUGUCACAUUACAAACAGGGAUGAAGAGCCAAUGACUGUGGGGCAGGGGGCAGGGGUGUUUGGCCUCAAAGAGAAUAAACGGAUAUAAAACUGGCACACCUACACAUCUAUAGGCAGCCAAUCUCCAUAAAGUCCUCUUCUGCCACCAGACAUACCAUACAAUUAUGUCUUUGGGUUCAGCUCAUUGCUAAUUCGAAACAGAUAAAAUCAUUUUUAGAACACUGGGAUAUAUGUCUCUGGGUUUUCUUUAAGAUUCAAUAAUCUUAAAAUGUGUUUAAAGCCACACAAUGUAAGUUUAUCCCCCACCCCUAAAUCACUAGGUGAUAGGUUGUAAGCUUGGUGUGAUAGAAAAAGACAACAACCUUAUUCUACUGAUUCAAAUCAUAAUCCUCUACUUUAUUUGUAAUUUACUGAUUAAUAUCAAAUGGUUUAUUACCAUGAUUAAAAAAAGAAUAAAUUAACAACUUUUAAUAAAGAAUAGAACAAUAACUUCUCGUAAGAAAAAUUUAAAACAGCGGAGCCACAUAUAUGGAUUUAAUACCGUAUCAUACAGAUGUAGCCAAAUAUGGACCUCAGUUCCAAAUGAGAUAAAGUACUCCCCUACUUUACAAAAAAUCUCAGAAUUUACAUCGUUUAAUUGUACUUGUAAUCUUUGCAAGGAAUAUUUUAGCAACAUCGGUUACAUUUGAUUUACAUUAUAUUUAGCGUUGAUAAUUUAAAUUAGUUGGCUUUAAUAUGCAUAGCUAGAAACUGUACCAACUUUAAAUAAAAAAAUAAAAAAAGAGAGAAAAAAUUGCAAGUCAUAUGAUCAUUUCAAAAUACCUGAUUGGUCCUGUUACAGUGGGUGGGCACCCCCUGUCAAUACCAAAUGUAGCAUGUUUCUGCUCCUGGCUAUCGUUUUUAAUUGAUCCCUGGUUGCUUUUACUAUGCGUACAUCCCUUAUUAUUUCCAUAGCAAUGCAUCCCUGGUUCCAGAUAAAUCCUACGUUUUUGCUUUUACUGUCCUAACUGAUGCAAGAAUGUCACGCUUUGUCUU